GACGAACGCUGGCGGCGUGCUUAACACAUGCAAGUCGAACGGAAAGGCCCUGCUUUUGUGGGGUGCUCGAGUGGCGAACGGGUGAGUAACACGUGAGUAACCUGCCCUUGACUUUGGGAUAACUUCAGGAAACUGGGGCUAAUACCGGAUAGGAGCUCCUGCUGCAUGGUGGGGGUUGGAAAGUUUCGGCGGUUGGGGAUGGACUCGCGGCUUAUCAGCUUGUUGGUGGGGUAGUGGCUUACCAAGGCUUUGACGGGUAGCCGGCCUGAGAGGGUGACCGGCCACAUUGGGACUGAGAUACGGCCCAGACGCCUGGGAGGCAGCAGUGGGGAAUAUUGCACAAUGGGCGGAAGCCUGAUGCAGCAACGCCGCGUGCGGGAUGACGGCCUUCGGGUUGUAAACCGCUUUCGCCUGUGACGAAGCGUGAGUGACGGUAAUGGGUAAAGAAGCACCGGCUAACUACGUG
rnacentral:rRNA from 1 species